UUAACAGUGUUCUCUCUUAUAGUUAAGGUAAUUAAUAUUUGUCAUUCUUUUGUUUUAUUUGAGCUUCAAUAUAUAUUUCUCUGAAGCAACUCAGUUUCUUGUCCUUCAUGCCAUAAAGAUAGCGUGGGAAGUUGCAUAUUAUGGAAGGCCUGUGUCACCCUGAAUAGAAGUCACCGGCAAUGUGACAAUUGAGACUGAAUGGGCAUGCAAAUUUAGUGGAAUCUGGUGAAGAGCGUUGGUGAAAAUUGAUCUACUCCUGGAUAUGUUACAGAGAGACGAGUGGUCGUAGUGACAGUGGAAAUGAUACUGCCACACCAUACCACCAUUUACGAGGUGAAAUCUUGGAGAAUUAGACAACCUCGAAGGAGUUUGCUGCUUGGGGUGCUUUGCGUGACCUUUUUAUGAACUCAGUAACCAUGAAACAGAUCUGACAAUGAAUAUGCAGUUGCUUCAGUGAUGUGUUGUGUUGUAGAGAUUUGAGGUAAAUUUAUCUAUUACUGGUCAUGUUACAUAGCAGAAGUGUGUCUUAUGUCAGUGGAAAUGGCACCGCUACACCAAACCACCAUUUGUGAGGUAAGCUGUACAGCAGCAGAGUACUUUAUAGGAGUUAUAUUAGUUGUUCUCUGCUUUUAGAUUUAAUUUUCAACUACUAAAUUUUGGGUUUAAGUUACAUGCGGUUGUUUUGCAGGUGGGUUCUUCCUCCAAGUCAUGCUUGCCUGUGCCUGAUCCUGCUUGUAGCUUCCUCUUCAAGCCUGCCUGAUUGCCUUCCUACUUUGCCGUCCAUGCAGCCAGCAUUGUUCUUACCUAGUAUGCAUGUGUCGUCCAUUAGCCAAAGGAAAUAAAAUGCUCACCAUUUCUUUAGCAUUAAAUUUUUCUCUUAGUAAUAUAAGGCCCUAUUCUCGAGGCUAAGAUACUGUGGGAAGUUGCUGAUUGUGGUAGGCCUGAAUAGAAGUCAGCGGCAAUGUGACUAUUGGGACUGAAUGAGCAGGCAAGUUUAGUGUAAUCUGGUGAAGAGUGUUGGUGAAAAUUGAUCUACUCCUGGGUAUGAUACAGAGACAUAUGUGGUCCUAGUGACAGUGGAAAUGAUACCGCCACACCAUACCACCAUUUACGAGGUAACAUGUACAUCAGCAUUUCCUUCUGCAGGACUCAUCUUAAUUGUUCUGCUCAUUUAGACAUAAUCUCCACGUGUUACAUGUUGAAUUUUCGUUAACAUAUCUUAGUUAUGUCAACGGUUCUUUCCUUCUAGUGACACUAGCCUGAUGAACCUCGCAUAUCUGCAUGUGCUUUCCUUAUUCUUGAUACCUGUCUGCAUGCCUAUUCUUUGGCACGUAUAAACCUGCUCAUUUAUUCUUCUUCCUUCUUGCGUGCCUGCCUUCCUUAGCCAACCUUCCAGUCGCCAUUGUUCUUACCUAGUAUGCAUAUGUCGUCCAUUGGCCAAAUGAAGUAAAAAUGCUCACUAUUUCGUUAGAAUGAAAUUUUUCACUUGGUAAUGUAAGAUAAGAAAAUGUAGCAUGAAAUUUUUCACUUAGUAAUUUGAGAUAAGAAAAUGUGAUCUAGUUGAUUUAAUUUGUAAUGGAAUUUGAUGACUGUUAAAUAGUAUUUGAUGUACAUAUUUGAUUAACAGUGUUCCCUCUUAUAGUUAAGGUAAUUAAUAUUUGUCGUUCUUAUAUUUUAGUUGAACUUCAAUAUUUCUGUGAAGCUAGUCAAUUUCUUGUCCUUCAGUCCAUAUUCUGGAGACUAAGAUAGCAUGGGAAUUUGCUUAUUUUGGUAGGCCUGUGUCACUCUGAAUAGAAGUCAGUGGCAAUGUGUCAUUUCAGUCUGAAUGAGCAGGCAAAUUGAAUGUAAUCUGGUGAAGAGUGUUGGUGAAAAUUGAUCUACUCCUGGAUAUGUUACAGAGACAUAAGAGGACCUAGUGACAGUGGAAAUGAUACUGCCUCAUCAUAGCACCAUUUACAAAGUAACAUGUACAUUAGCAUUCCAUUCUGCAGGAGUUAUCUUAAUUGUUCUGUUCAUUUAGACAUAAUUUUCACGUGUUACAUGUUGAAUUUUAAGUAAUAUACCUUAGUUAGUAAGUUUUUUCCUUCAAGUGACAAUAGCCUGAUGAAUCUCACAUAUAUGCACCUGCUUGCCUUCGUAUCAAUGCCUGUCUGCAUGCCUGUUCUUAGCAUUUAUAAACCUGCUUCUUUAUUCUUCUUCCCUCUUGUGUGCCUCAGCCAACCUUGCAGCUGGCAUUGCUCUUAACUAGAAUGCGUAUGGUUUCCAUUGGCAUGAGGAAGUAGAAAACACACACUAUUGACUUGACAUGAAUUUUUUCAGUUAGUAAGAGUACAUAAGAAAAUGUGAUCAAAUUGACUCAAGUUAUAAUUGAAAUUGAGACCCUGUUAAAAUUGUUUGAGAUAUAUAUUUAACUUUAAGAUAUCAUCAGAGCCGUUUGUUUCUCUCUGUUAGAACUUCUGAAUUGUUGACAGAUAUUUAUGAAACUUGGUGUGAAUAUCGUGACUAUGGAGACCAAUCCACUUAUGUGAAGUUUAAUUAUCUACUAUCAGUAAUAUCAACAUGACAAACGUAUGACUGCAUGUCCUGAUACUUGCA